UCCGUGUUAACCACGGCAGUCUGUCUAGAGUGCCCAACUUAAUGCUGGCAACUAAACACAGGGGUUGCGCUCGUUGAGGGACUUAACCCGACAUGCCACCACACGAGCUGACGACAGCCAUGCAGCACCUGUCUCUUUGUCGUAUUGCUACGAAAGCCUAAUCUCUUAGGUUGUCAAAGGAUGUCAAACCCAGGUAAGGUUCUGCGCGUUGCUUCGAAUUAAACCACAUAAUCCACCGCUUGUGCGGGCUCCCGUCAAUUCCUUUGAGUUUUAGUCUUGCGACCGUACUUCCCAGGCGGGGUACUUAUCGCGUUAGCUCCGGAUCGGCAGGGGUCAACUCCCACACCUAGCGCCCAACGUUUACAGCGUGGACUAC
rnacentral:misc_RNA from 1 species